rnacentral:rRNA from 1 species
UACGUAGGCAGCGAGCGUUGUUCGGAGUUACUGGGCGUAAAGAGUGCGUAGGCGGUUUUCUAAGUUUGGUGUGAAAUCUCCCGCUUAACUGGGAGGGUGCGCCGAAGACUGGAAGGCUUGAGUAUGGGAGAGGUAAGCGGAAUUCCUGGUGUAGCGGUGAAAUGCGUAGAUAUCGGGAGGAACACCUGUGGCGAAAGCGGCUCACUGGACCACAACUGACGCUGAUGCACGAAAGCUAGGGGAGCAAACAGG